rnacentral:lncRNA from 1 species
AAGGCGUGACGAUUCCAGUUGAGUUGAGCUGCUGCGUGCUAUCUGUAAGCAAGCAUUCCAAUUGGGUGUCGCUAGGUGGCUCCAAUGUCUUCAGGCCAAUACGGCCAUUUUGUUCUUUGACGUCCGAGUUGAGUAGUUUACGGCUUUACGCAGCAGAACAGGAACGUCGGUCGGGACGUUUUUGCAUGAUGAAAAUACUAAGGUGAUUUCAAUUAUAAAACACCACUUUGUCAAACCAUUGAACUCGGACUUGAGUGCCUGUUCAUUUUACCGAAAUGUGUGCUGCAUGUAUACCCACUCGUAACGUCUCGUCCCAUGCAGAAAUAACAGUUAUACUUGGCAAUUCCAUCUGAUCAUGUGGCCUGAAACUGCUGUACAUUUUCCCAAAAUGUUGUCUCUUGCUGCACGUACCGGGUGUACAUUUUGUUUUGCCACAUGCAGAAAUUCUUCAGAAAAGUUCUGGAUUUGUUGCAGCCAGCUGUUGGACGGUGUUACUCUUGCAGCUUGCUACAAGUACCGAUUGUAGCUUUCGUCACAUGCAGAAACACUUCAUGUCCACUCCCCCUCAAUUAUUCAAAAUGGUGGCCAUCUGACAUGUUGAUUCCUGUAGAGGUGUGAUUGUGAUGAACAAUUCUCAUUCUCAGCUUUUUGAGAGAAGCUGUCUGUCAGGUUAUUGCAUGUUGCUCUUUUGACCAACUUGAAAAAUAUCUUACGAAUGGAUGUAAAGCCAGUUUUCUGUAUGUUAGAAACUCGGGGAAUGACAAGUAAAAUUUCUAAUUUGUUCGUAUCCGUGGUUAAAACAGUAAAAUGUCAAAAAUGAAAUCCGCCAAACCCCAGGUAGUGCUUUUCUUCGUGCCGGGAACGAAAUUCCGCCAUUUCCCAUUUGUUUCCGAGACACUGACCGAAAAUGUAUUACGAACUUCCGGCGUCCUUUUAGCUUUUCAGUCAUGUUAAUCAAAAGGUAUAGCCUAUAGCAUCAACUUGGCCAUAAUAAUCCGAUAACGUGGACUAAAACUGCUGUAGCUUGCUUUCGAACUGCUGUUACCUGUACGUCUCAUCCCAUAUAACAAAGGAGGAGAUCCCUCUGCUUAACUGACGGAGGAUUUGAGAACAUGCAGAAUGUGAACUUCAUUGCUGUCUUUCAUGCUAUGGUUUUGUUGCAGCCAGCUUGUGAAAGGUGUGGUAAAGCUGCGGCACAAAUACAUCAAAGUUGAGUCACUAACUACAUUCCUCGUCGUGUAACCAAAUCGCAAUCAUGGCAGGUACAAUUGCCGCACGGCUCGAGUAGAAGGUGAAUCACGAGAAGGAAAAACUUAGUAAGCGAGAGAAUUGUCGAUAGAAGUCAAUCAAAUGAGCAUCUCAGACAUGGCAAAUUGGCAACUACUAGUUCGCAAUUAUGGUAUGCCAGUUAUUAUAGAUUAUUAAUGUGGAAACUAAUUGCUUAGCUAACCAAAGCGUCGUGCUGCUGUUGGUUAUUGUAUCGCUGAUGGAUGGGUCGACCACGAUCGUACCGAUGUCUCCUGGGUAUGGUGGAUACUAAGCAUCAGCAGCGAAAGAAUAGUAAACCACGUCGCCACCUUUCUACACAACAAUUUUUUUCCUUUCUACGCAAUACGCAAUACCUACUUACUAACAGAGGCCCCCAAAUUACUACACCACCUAGGCUCCAGAGUAUUGCAAGAAGUAUUACUCUGCCCCGAGCUACUAUACUGAUGAUUACUCUGCUUUGAGUUACAUCACCAAGGCGUCUGAGUACCACACUGAGUCUCGCAAGUACACCACCAAAGCUCCAGAGUAUUACACUACAAUCUACGCUGCUCCAGUAUACUAUACUGAUGCUCCCAAUUACUAUUUUUCUCCCAGCUACUACACCGAGGCUGCAGCCUUUUACACUACCAAAUAGGUCGAAUACUACACCGAAGCGCGCCUAAGUACUACACUGCAACCUACGCUACCCCAGCUUACACCGCCAAGACGCAUAAGUGUGACACUGUCAAGACAAGUUUGCAAUCAUUGUGCUGCUGUUGGAUGUUAUCGUUGAUGGCUGGGUCGACCACUGGUGUACCGAUGUCUUCUUGGUAUGGUGUAUACUAAACCGCAACGCCGCCUUACUAACCAAAAGCAACUCACGCUACGACCAGUUACUGCGCCGAGACCUUCAAGUACUACACCACUAACGUACUGGUGUAUUUUACCACAACUUAUCUUCCCCCAGUUACCACACUGACGCUCCGAAGUAUUACUCUGCCCCGAUCUACACCAAUAAGGUACCGGAGUACUACAGGAAUACGUAUGCUGCCCCAACCUACUACACCGAGGCUCCCAAGUACUACUCUGUCCUCAGCUACUUACUACACCGAUGGCUAAACUACUACAACGAGGCUCCGGCUGAUUACUAAACCAAAAUGGUUGCAAACUACACCAAAGCGCCCAAGAACUACUCUGCCCCGAUCUACACAGCCACAACUUGCGGUAACAGGCGUUCAAGUAUUACGCAGCCCUACGCAGAAGCUGCCUUUUCGUACUACGAAGAAAUACUACACUGAUGCUCCAGUUUGCUACACCGCAACCUAUGCUUUACCUAGCUACAACACCGAAGCUCCCAAGUACUACUUAAUUAUACCGUAUAAAAGUUGCAAUUAGUAUUUUGUUCAAUUGGCAUUUUGUCUAUUUCGUUCGGAUGUUAAGAUUUUUAGAAAAAAGAAAAACAAACAUGGGAAAUUUUAUCCCCAACAGUUAAUAAAAGAAACUUUUCAAUUAGGAAAGGAAGGAGGAGAAAAUUGGGGAAGGAAAGUAAGCAUUUGAAUAUUUCAUUGAAUUUUACAUCUAUUAAUUUUCGUGAAGUUUCAUAUUGUCCUAAUAACUUGUAAAUUUGUACUAGUUCUGAUAAAUUACAAUUAGACAUAACAUUGUUCUGUCAUAAUAAACCUUCUAUAAUUAAUCAAUGAUACAUUUUCCUAAAACAGUACUUAAUUAACUGUUACUCACCAUAACCACUUGAAUGAUAGUACUGUCUUGCAGUUGUCUGCAAAAUAAAUAACAGCAAAGAAUUGAAUCUGGGGAAUGUAGCAAUAUUUUAGAGAUUAACUAUGACUGGAAUGCAGAUUGCUAAUUAGAAAUGAUAUACAUUAGAUGCCACAGUAAUAAUUUUUUAAUCCUGGACAAAAGAAGUAUCUUGCAAAUGCAAACUAUUUAGUUUAGGAAGACAUAGCUUGCAUUAUUGGAUUGUCCUGUUUGAUCUCUGUUUUCACAAGCACUGAGGAGUGAGGCUGCACCUAGGUCAACUUCAGCUGAAAUCUUCUGAAAACAUUGAGUCAUGAACACAAUAAGAAUCAGUAGCUAAAUUUUAUGUUAUUUAAAAUCGGUUAAACUUGAAAUCCUAAUCUGAAUUUGUUUUUAUAUUUUAAAGUAACUUAUGAUGUGUAGUUGUGUACUGUGUAGCUUAGGAGCAGACAAAGUUUCCCCAAAGAAAUCUUGGGAGGCUUUUAGGGGCUUUUAGCCCAGACAACCUGUCACAUUCCAAUGCUGCUCUCCAAUUAUCAAUGGUCAUCGUAACCUACAGAAAAAAAAAAAGAUUUAUCACAAGUAAGACAAAGUGCAGAAUUACAGGAAUAAAGCUAAAGGGGUGACAUGUGAUUAUUUAUAUGUCAAGUUCCUAGAGUGAGAAUCAAAUGAGCCAAUUACAUAAUGUUGUUGUCAGAUAUGGUAGUGUGGAGUGGAGUGCCUUGUAGUAUGCUGCGGUGAAUAGAAAAGCAUUCUGAAUAACUGACAGGUUUACCUAACAAACUGGGUGUUUUUCCUUUCAGCAAUUCACUGACUAAACACUGAUGCCCAGGUGCUGAAAUGACUGGAAUCACUUGCAGACAAGGCACAUGAACCAAUAUCACUGCAUUGUCUUCAGAGUAGAAGUUGGACUGGUAAAUUUGUGUGGUUGUUGAAGUGUGUAAAAGUUGGACUGGCGUCCAUCACCACCUUGGGAUUUCGUCUGUUGUGUGUGGUGUUGUUGGUGAAAUUUUGCAAGGAGAACGUUACGUGAACGAGGAAACGUAGCCUACCGUUGACUAUUGUGUUCAAAAUGUGCCAUCGAAAUGAGACAGGCACAGGUAAUGACACACGAAAUGACACAGGAUUCAUCAUAAUUAUCUGCUGUAACAACUGGACUUGCUAGAUCACCAACCUCAUCACGGGCCAAUCUCUCAUUCCAUCUUCUAGAGAACCUUGGUUUCAUGUGUUUGAAACUAUAGGUUUCUAAAUUUGCAUGACAGACUUUAAAUGAAAAGUCAUGUUGAAGAAAAAGAACUGUCUGGCAGUCAACAAGCUAUGCUACCUUGUUUGGUAACCUGUUGCCUACUUCCCUUGAGAUCCCUUUUUACUUUCUUAAGCUUCAUUUGAGGGUAACUCCUUCGCUACUUGUCUUGGUCCUUGGACUUUAUCUAUUGGUGAUGCUAUAAUUCAAGAGAAUGCUGUCAUUCAAGACUGAAAAAUUGUGUAGUUGUUAGAUAAAACAAGUGCAUUCAAUUAAGGCAGUGUCUCCCACUGUCUAGAUUGUCUGUAUGUGCAAGUUUCAAAAGCAGUUUAUCACCCAAAUGAGACAAAAAGAGUUUGUUAGGUUUGUUUUAUUUGGGUAUAAAUUGCUUUAAAAUUUGCACACAUCAACAUUUGUCUUGUACCGGACGCUUUGAUUAU